rnacentral:lncRNA from 1 species
UGUGAGGGGUUCUUCAUACUUUGGAGUUCUGAUUUCGAAUUGGAGGCUGGUGAAGAAUCAACUUACUGGACCUAAGACCUUAGACUUGCUCUUAACAAAGGCAUUUGCUCAAAUGGCACAGCAAUAACAACAAUCAGAAAACAUUCCUUCCUGAGACACGCUCUCCCACAAAUACACACAAUGUCCACAGGAAGAGUGGGCUAGAAUUGAGAUUACAAUGGUUCCCACAUCAGCAGAGGAAAAGGGCAAAUAGUGUGCAUGACCAGGAAAUGUGGGACAAGAAAACAAAUGAAAGGCACCCAUGGAGGAGACACAUGAACCUGAAGAGGAGACAAAUAGGGACAAGUAGGGCCAGCAUCCUUCAAAUCUCUCUCCCUGAUGAACUGUUAAAAUCAUCCGGUUAGGUCAUGAUUCU